GACGAACCGUGCGAACGUUGUUCGGAAUCACUGGGCUUAAAGGGCGCGUAGGCGGACUGCCAAGUCCGGGGUGAAAUCAUUCGGCUUAACCGGACAACAGCCCUGGAUACUGGCGGUCUCGAGCGAGGUAGGGGCCGUUGGAACUUCCGGUGGAGCGGUGAAAUGCGUUGAUAUCGGAAGGAACGCCGGUGGCGAAAGCGAACGGCUGGACCUCUUCUGACGCUGAGGCGCGAAAGCCAGGGGAGCAAACGGG
rnacentral:rRNA from 1 species